GACAUCAUCAUGACCCAGUCUCCCCCGGUGCUGUCAGUGGGACUGGGCCAGACUGCAACCACCACCUGUAUGACCAGUCAAAGCAUUAGCAGCAACCUUGCUUGGUACCAGCAGCGAGAAGGUCAGAAACCCUCUCUCCUGAUCUAUGAUGCAGCAACUCGAUUCACAGGAGUCUCCGAUCGAUUCACCGGCAGUGGAUCAGGGACCAGUUUCACCCUGACAAUCAGCAACGUUCAGAAUGAGGAUGUCGCUGACUAUUACUGUCAGCAGUAUAGCAGCAGCCUGUACACGUUCGGUAAAGGAACCAAACUCAGACUGAGCAAGUAA